GAUUGUCAACCGGUGAAAGAAAUCCUGUCAAAUUAGUUCCAGGAAGGGUUUGCUCAGGAUUGGUGGUAUGAGAAUUUAACUGCAGAAAUGGUUCUUGUGACUGUGAAGUCCUUGCUGUUGGAUCUCUUCUAAAUGUAUUGUUGGGACAAAGCAAGAUGGCCUCAUGAAGAUUCACAUCCUGACUUAUAGCCUGGCUGAAGUUUACAUGAUAAUGUGCUGAAGAAUUCAUGCCAUCACUGAUACUGCCUGGAAGAGGAAUAUCUCCCAAUGAGAUGCCCUGAAAAACGAAGGAGAAACACUUCAAACAUGAAUAGCCCUAUUUCUGAAGCAGUUCUAUUACCUAACAACUUUCUUUCCCCUCUUUUGUCAAUUCCUCUACAUUUAAUAGAGAUAGAUGCUGUUGGCAGUAACUUCCUAGUUAAAUACAGGCAAUACAAUACGAGAUGUGAGUCCAAAUCAGAAUACCUGGAAUUCUGAGUAACCUAGAAAUUAAGAUGGAUUAGUAUAAAAGCUGACUGGAUUUUCUUAAAAAGUCUAAUGUUACAAUCUUGUAAUUUGCUACUUUAUAAUAAGAUGCAACUCAUCCUAGCGGUUGGUAAUCACAUUGUGGAGGGUCAGGGAUAAUAAACUACAGUGAAGUAGUCUGGAGGAGAGAGGCUGUUUAAAUGCCUCUAAGCGCUAAAACUACAAGGCUAUUGUGAAUAUUGCUGCAAUAAACAUGGGGGUGCAGGUGUCCCUUUGAUACA
rnacentral:lncRNA from 1 species